UAGCGUUCUGCGUUCAUAUUCAGUUUCAAUUAUUACUGAGUGGAAGACUAAUUAUUUGACAAUUAAAAGUUGAACAUAUUCAGCACAUCAAUGGUCCUGACAGUCAACUAUUACCAGCCAAGUCAGGAAAAUACAGCAAUUUAAUAAUCUCAUUCAAACCAACCAUAUACCGACCAAGUAAGAAUUAAGAUUAUUUUUGGGCCUUAAUCAUCACGUGAUUCACGAUAUAUGUUGCAAUUCUUCCAUAAAAUAUGGACGGAGCGUCAAAAUUCUGAAUCCAUUAAUCAUCACGUGAUUUGCGAUGUAUAUAUCGUACACCACUCCAGCAAACAAGGACGGAAUUAAAUUAAAAAAAAAUACAACAAGAUUACACGAUGUAUAAUAAUCUACGAUAUAUCCAUGUUCUUGUAAUGAAAUUACAAAUAUACACUAAUCUUUUUGUAUACAUAACGAAAUCCUAUAUCAGAAAGCACAGAUCUUCAAAUAAAAUUAACAAUUUCCAGCAGAGGAAAAAAUCAAUGUCAUUAACCAAAGAGAACGGAUUUUAUGAGCGUGUCGAGAUCAUUUCCGAAUUUCUAACUUCUUCUGUUCUUUGGCUACAAGGAGAAAGAGUAGCACAAAUCAGCCAUAAUAACGAGUAGGAACUGCAUUUCUGGAGAAUAAAAGCAGCUAAUUGAAUAUAGAGAUAGGUACCAGCUUUCUCUUCUUCCCGUUUUUUAGCAGCUUCAGCUCUUUCCUGGCGUAUAAGGGCCAAACGAUCUGCAAGUUGUAAGAACAACAACAUAUUAAGACACAUUAUUAUUGUUU
rnacentral:lncRNA from 1 species